GACGAACGCUGGCGGCGUGCUUAACACAUGCAAGUCGAACGGAAAGGCCCUGCUUUUGUGGGGUGCUCGAGUGGCGAACGGGUGAGUAACACGUGAGUAACCUGCCCUUGACUUUGGGAUAACUUCAGGAAACUGGGGCUAAUACCGGAUAGGAGCUCCUGCUGCAUGGUGGGGGUUGGAAAGUUUCGGCGGUUGGGGAUGGACUCGCGGCCUAUCAGCUUGUUGGUGGGGUAGUGGCUUACCAAGGCUUUGACGGAUAGCCGGCCUGAGAGGGUGACCGGGCACAUUGGGACUGAGAUACGGCCCAGACUCCUACGGGAGGCAGCAGUGGGGAAUAUUGCACAAUGGGCGGAAGCCUGAUGCAGAAACGCCGCGUGCGGGAUGACGGCCUUCGGGUUGUAAACCGCUUUCGCCUGUGACGAAGCGUGAGUGACGGUAAUGGGUAAAGAAGCACCGGCUAACUACGUG
rnacentral:rRNA from 1 species